GGUCAGGUAGCUCAGUCGGUAGAGCAGGGGAUUGAAAAUCCCCGUGUCGGGGGUUCAAGUCCCUCUCUGACCACCA
rnacentral:tRNA from 3 species